UUGCGCGCUUUUACGCACGGGCGUUUUGGGUAAACGAGUGCUUAAAUGCGCGCGCACGCCUGUUGUGCAAGUGUCUGUGUCUGGAGGUGUGCGUGUAUGAUGCAGAGCAGGGGUUGUGAUGAUCUUGCAGCAGGGUCAGACGUUUGGUUUUUGGGGUUGGGGACGCGCGCUCGAGCUCCGCGAAACUUCUGAGCGACUAAUUCCAAGUGGCACUUGAAUUGGAAAGCUCUGUGGACUGGAAGGAAAGGCUCGCGUUUUCACGCUGCUGUUACAAAACAAAACUCAUUCUCUUUCUCUCACGCACACAUGCACGCACGACACCAGCACUUGGAAUAUGCAAAGCCUCGGUACCUGACUGGGUGCGCCAAUUGAAGCAGGUGUCCAUUCUGUUUUGGAGGAGCCUUGUUGCCCUCGCAGGCAGCUCGGAGAAGAGACCAGAGGUGAAAUGUAAAACCUGAAUGGGGAUUGGGAGAGGGAAGCUAAUGUCUGUUCCAAGAAACAAAGAUGGAGUUGCGUCAGGCGCAGGAGUGAAAGGGAGAGAGAAAGAGAAAGAGAGAGAUGGAGACCGGAUGAGAGGAGGAAAAAUGAUAGAAAGAAAUCCAGCACGAAAAAAAGGGACCUUGUUUUAUUUUUCUGCUCCCUCGUUGACCCAUGUUUGACAGAGGCUGGACAAAAAAAGAAAAAAAAGAAAAAAGAAAAACAGUAGCACACCCUCCCUGCAAACACAGGAGGCUCAUGUGUUGCUGCUCCAUACUGGAUUCAUCUCAACUCCACACAGGACGGAACUCUGGACCAAUAACUGAAGUUUGUGGAGCUGAAGGGACACUUCACUUUGUCCCAGAUCAUGACGCAGCUGCGAUUCUU